AUGGCCGGCCCAUGGCAGGGCACCCCUGGAGGCCGGCAGUGGCUCCUGGUGCUGCUGGCUCUGAGAUACCUGCUGCCCACAGGAGGAAUUACUCAGCUGGGCAUCAGAGCACCGCCUAGCCCAGAGGCAACCACAGGGAUUCUGGGUGAUCACCAUGUGCCCACAUCUCAGCCUUCUGCAGAGAGGCAGUGCCCAGACGUGCCUGUCUCCCCUGGGAGACCUCCAGGGACACGCUCACUGUCCAGAGUCACAAACACAAGUGAUUCUUCUGCUGAUGCCAAGAGGCAAGCGAACGAGAGAAAGCUGAUCAGAAGGGAAGAAUCCAGCCCAGUCUCCUUGGGUUCUCUGAGUUCCCAGAGGCCAGGCGCCAGAAACCAAGGACGGGAUCUGGGAGGCUCCAAGGUCCCAGUGAAUCCAGGGUCCCCUGAACAGCCACACUCAAAGCAGAGGCACCCACCAGCCUCCUACUCACAGAUCAGAGAUGGUAAGUCCUUUUGCUGUUUUAAUCUUCCAAGUUGACAUUGGUCAUUCAAAUGUUUUACCAUCUUUGGUUCUGUAUUCAUUGUUUUCUUUUUUUUUUAAUAUAUAUUUAUUUGGCUGUGCCAGGUCUUACUUGUAGCAUUCAGGAUCAUCAAUCUUCAUUGCGGCAGGCAGGAUCAUUUUUUUAGUUGUGGCAUGUGGACUCUCAUUUGCGGUAUGUGGGAUCUAGUUCUCUGACCAGGGAUCGAACCUGAGACCCCUGCAUUGGGAGCUCGGAGUCUUAGCCACUGGACCCCCAGGGAAGUCCCUGCCUUCAUUGGUUUGACAGAUAUUGAGGUCAAGGUCCCUGCAGCCAGAUCCUUCCAGGCAUCACACAGCUCAGAGGCAAGCAGGGAAGGUAGACUUCAAAUAAGUUGUCUCAAUAGAGUGUGAUGAGCUCUGGGAGUUGGUGAAGGACAGGGAAGCCUGGCAUGCUGUACUCCAUGGGAUUGCAAAGAGUCGGCCACAACUGAGCAACUGAACUGAAUAGAGUGUGAUGUGCUGGAGGUGAGGAGAAGGACCUGGGAUCCUGGCAAGGGGGUCUAACCUGGGUUAGAGAAUCUGGGUUCCUUUCAUCAGGCACUGAAAUUGAACCUGUAGGAGAAGGAGCUCACCCGCAAGGUGAGAGGUGGGGAGGGGAGGGAAAGACAAAAAGAUCUAACCGAUGUCUCUUCUCCUUCCUCCUGGUCUUAUUGCAGGAAGGGGGACCCCUUUCAGGGCCUGAAAGUAGGUUCCUGUCUAACACUCAGAAAUGAAUUGUCUGAGAAGACACAUGUGCUGAAAAGCAAGAGACUUUAUUGGCAAGGGGUGCCCAGGCAGAGAGCAGUAGGAUAAGGAAACCCAGGAGAACUGCUCACAGCCUCGGGUUUUAUGGUGAUGGGAUUAGUUUCCAGGUUGUCUUUGGCUCAUGAUUCUGACUCAGAGUCCUUCCUGGUGGCACAUGCCUUGUUCAGCCAAGAUGGAUGCCAGCGAGGAGGAUUCUGGGAGGUGGUGGUAGGACACAUGGUGUCUCCUUUUGACCUUUCCCGAGCUCUUCCAGUUCGUGGUGGCUUAUUAGUUCCAUGUUCCUUACCAGGACCUCUUGUCUGGAAACAACUCAUGCAGAUGGUUAUUAUGGUGCCUGGGCAGAGUGGGCGGUCUCAGUCAGUGUGCUUCCCCUAACAGUCUCUUCCUUUCUUCUUAUGUAUUUAUUUAUCUUUGGCUGUGCUUGGUCUUCACUGCUGCUCAGGCUUUUCUCUAGUUGUGAUGAGCAGAAGCUACGGGGGAGCCUGGUGGGCUGCUGUCUAUGGGGUCACACAGAUUUAGACACGACUGAAGUGACUUAGCAGCAGCAGCAGUUGCAGUACAAGGGCUUCUCAUUUCUAUGGCUUCUCUUGUUGCAGAGCAUGGGCUUUAGGGUACGUGGGCUUCAGCAGCUACAGCUCGCGGGCUCUAAAGCACAGGCUCAGUAGCUGUGGAGCAUGGGUUUAGUUGCUCUGCAGCACGUGUGAUCUUCCCAGACCAGGGAUAGAACCGUCCCCACUGGCAGGCAGAUUCCUAACCCCUGAGCUACCAGGGAAGCCCCUGUCUCUUUCUUCCUUCCCCUUUCCACCUUCUCCUUCUCUGCUCAUCUCAGUUGCCUUCUCCUCUUUCCCCUUCUUCUUCCUCCUUUGAUUAUUUCAAAACUGAUUACCAUUUACUUCUUGAGUCCUUCAGGGCAUGGACAAAGACCCUGUGGCUCUUCCUUUGUGCAGACCUCAAGCUCAGAAUGAUUUUUGCAUGCUUAAAGGUCUGGGACAAAACAAACAAAACAAUCCUAACCUGCUCCCUCCUCUCCCCACCAAAAUUCAGAACAAAUAGGAAUAUGCAACAGAGCCCACAAGAGGACAGCUUAUGAAAGCUAAAAUACAUACUCUGUCCCUUUACAAAGUUUGCCAAGCUCUGGAAUAUAUUAUUCAUUUUAUUUCCACUUGUUUCUUUUUUUUUAAUAUUUCAUUUAUUUAUUUAUUUGUGUUGAGUCUUCGUUGCUGUGCUCAAACUUUCUCUAUUUGGGGCGAUCCGGGGCUAAUCCCUAGUUGCAGUGUGAAGGGUUCUCAUUAUAGUGGCUUCUCUUGUUACGGAGACGGGCUCUAGGGUGCAGACUCAGCAGUUGCAGCUUCCAGGCUCUAGCGCACAGGAUCAGUAGUUGUGGUGCAUGGCCUUAACCGCCCCACAGCAUGUGGGAUCUUACAGGACUAGGGAUCAAACCCAAGCCUCCUGCAUUGGCAGGUGGAUUUUGUUACCACUGAGCCGCUGGGGAAGCCCUGGACACAUUUCUUAACCCACUGACCCUCCACAUCUUCAUCUAUUAAUGUGGAUAUAAGACCAACGCCUCUCCUCUGGGUGUCUCAGAACGUGUAAUAACAUAUGACAAAGGGUUAGCACAGUGUCUGCCUCAUGGAAAUCAACUGCAAGAGAAGAGCUCCUUAAAUCCAUUGGCCAGGGACCCUCUAAGUCACCACCUCCCUGGGACUGAACGUGUUCUUUGUAUAUUUCAGGACAGCUAGCGUACUUUAGCCAGGGGUCUCCCGGUCUGGCCCCUCCUGAACCCUUCCUUACAGCCCUGCCCAGCUGCUUUUGUGGACACUUGUGGUUAGCAACCGUCAUGAUUCUACUGAGCUGGCUGACACUCACAGGUGUGGCCAGGAGACCACAGAGGUCAGUAGGGCGUGACGGUCACUAGACCAAUUUUGCAACCAAAGCGAGUCCUCUUGGCAGCUGGGAAGUGCCACACAGCCUCUGCUAAUGAUGGCUGACCCCUGCAUGACCAGCUAGCAAGAGCUGGGCACAAGGUAGUGCUGGACAUCUGGGGAUGAAUGUGGCACCA
ensembl:lincRNA